rnacentral:rRNA from 1 species
UACGGAGGGAGCAAGCGUUACUCGGAAUUAUUGGGCGUAAAGGGCGCGUAGGCGAUCCGACAAGUCUGGUGUGAAAGCCCACAUGUUAACUGUAGAAGUGCAUUAGAAACUGUUGGAUUUGAGUUCAGGAGAGGAAGGCAGAAUUCCCGGUGUAGCGGUGAAAUGCGUAGAGAUCGGGAGGAAUACCAGUGGCGAAGGCGGCCUUCUGGACUGACACUGACGCUGAGGCGCGAAAGCCAGGGGAGCAAACGGG